rnacentral:rRNA from 1 species
AUUGAACGCUAGCGGGAUGCCUUACACAUGCAAGUCGAACGGAGUGGCGAACGGGUGAGUAAUGUAUCGGAACGUGCCCAGUAGCGGGGGAUAACUACGCGAAAGCGUAGAUAAUACCGCAUACUAUUGGAGCGGCCGAUAGCGGCUUAGCUAGUGGGUGGGGUAACGGCUCACCAAGGCGACGAUCCGUAGCGGGUUUGAGAGGACGACGAGCAACACUGGGACUGAGACACGGCCCAGCCGCUUACGGGAGGCAGCAGUGGGGAAUUUUGGAAAAUGGGGUAAGCCCUGAUCCAGCCAUCCCGCGUGUGCGAUGAGGGCCUUCGGGUUGUAAGGCACUUUUGUCAGGAAAGCGGUACCUGCAGAAUAAGCACCGGCUAACUACGUGCCAGCAGCCGCGGUAAUAC